rnacentral:rRNA from 1 species
AGAGUUUGAUCCUGGCUCAGGACGAACGCUGGCGGCGUGCCUAAUACAUGCAAGUCGAACGAACCAAAGAGAAGCUUGCUUCUCUGUCGGUGAGUGGCGGACGGGUGAGUAACACGUGGGCAACCUGCCUAUCAGCGGGGGAUAACACUUGGAAACAGGUGCUAAUACCGCAUAAUAGAGAAGUUCGCAUGAACUUCUUUUGAAAGACGGUUUCGGCUGUCACUGAUAGAUGGGCCCGCGGUGCAUUAGCUAGUUGGUGGGUAAAGGCCUACCAAGGCGACGAUGCAUAGCCGACCUGAGAGGGUGAUCGGCCACACUGGGACUGAGACACGGCCCAGACUCCUACGGAGGCAGCAGUAGGGAAUCUUCCGCAAUGGACGAAAGUCUGACGGAGCAACGCCGCGUGUGUGAAGAAGGUUUUCGGAUCGUAAAGCACUGUUGUUAGAGAAGAACAAGGAUAAGAGUCACUGCUUGUCCCUUGACGGUAUCUAACCAGAAAGCCACGGCUAACUACGUGCCAGCAGCCGCGGUAAUACGUAGGUGGCAAGCGUUGUCCGGAAUUAUUGGGCGUAAAGCGCGCGCAGGCGGUUUCUUAAGUUGGGUGUGAAAGCCCUCGGCUCAACCGAGGAGGGUCACUCAAAACUGGGAGACUGGAGUGCAGAAGAGGAGAGUGGAAUUCCAUGUGUAGCGGUGAAAUGCGUAGAUAUAUGGAGGAACACCAGUGGCGAAGGCGGCUCUCUGGUCUGUAACUGACGCUGAGGCGCGAAGCGUGGGGAGCAAACAGGAUUAGAUACCCUGGUAGUCCACGCCGUAAACGAUGAGUGCUAAGUGUUAGGGGUUUCCGCCCCUUAGUGCUGCAGCAAACGCAUUAAGCACUCCGCCUGGGGAGUACGACCGCAAGGUUGAAACUCAAAGGAAUUGACGGGGCCCGCACAAGC